rnacentral:rRNA from 1 species
GAAAGAUUCAUCGGAAGAGGAUGGGCAUGCGGCGCAUUAGCUAGACGGCGGGGUAACGGCCCACCGUGGCGACGAUGCGUAGGGGUUCUGAGAGGAAGGUCCCCCACACUGGUACUGAGACACGGACCAGACUCCUACGGGAGGCAGCAGUGAGGAAUAUUGGUCAAUGGGAGAGAUCCUGAACCAGCCAAGCCGCGUGAGGGAAGACGGCCCUAUGGGUUGUAAACCUCUUUUGUCGGAGAACAAAACCCGGGACGAGUCCCGGACUGCGUGUAUCCGAAGAAAAAGCAUCGGCUAACUCCGUGCCAGCAGCCGCGGUAAUACGGAGGAUGCGAGCGUUAUCCGGAUUUAUUGGGUUUAAAGGGUGCGUAGGCGGUCCGUUAAGUCAGCGGUAAAAUUGCGGGGCUCAACCCCGUCGAGCCGUUGAAACUGUCAGACUUGAGUUGGCGAGAAGUACGCGGAAUGCGCGGUGUAGCGGUGAAAUGCAUAGAUAUCGCGCAGAACUCCGAUUGCGAAGGCAGCGUACCGGCGCCAGACUGACGCUGAGGCACGAAAGCGUGGGGAUCGAACAGGAUUAGAUACCCUGGUAGUCCACGCAGUAAACGAUGAAUGCUGGUUGUCCGGGUCGAAUGAGACCUGG